rnacentral:misc_RNA from 1 species
UACGUAGGUGGCGAGCGUUAACCGGAUUUACUGGGCGUAAAGCGCGCGUAGGCGGCUUUUUAAGUCGGAUGUGAAAUCCCCGGGCUUAACUGGGGAAUUGCGUUCGAUACUGGGGAGCUAGAGUAUGGGAGAGGAUGGUAGAAUUCCAGGUGUAGCGGUGAAAUGCGUAGAGAUCUGGAGGAAUACCGAUGGCGAAGGCAGCCAUCUGGCCUAAUACUGACGCUGAGGUACGAAAGCAUGGGGAGCAAACAGG